rnacentral:rRNA from 1 species
UACGUAGGGUGCGAGCGUUGUCCGGAAUUAUUGGGCGUAAAGAGCUUGUAGGCGGUUUGUCGCGUCUGCUGUGAAAUUUCGGGGCUCAACCCCGAACUUGCAGUGGGUACGGGCAGACUAGAGUGUGGUAGGGGGAGACUGGAAUUCCUGGUGUAGCGGUGAAAUGCGCAGAUAUCAGGAGGAACACCGAUGGCGAAGGCAGGUCUCUGGGCCACUA